rnacentral:rRNA from 1 species
CCUACGGGAGACUGCAGUGAGGAAUAUUGGUCAAUGGGCGCGAGCCUGAACCAGCCAAGUCGCGUGAGGGAUGACUGUCCUACGGAUUGUAAACUUCUUUUAUCGAGGAGUAAAAUGAGGCACGUGUACCUUUUUGUAAGUACUUUGUGAAUAAGCAUCGGCUAACUCCGUGCCAGCAGCCGCGGUAAUACGGAGGAUGCGAGCGUUAUCCGGAUUUAUUGGGUUUAAAGGGUGCGUAGGUGGGUUGUUAAGUCAGUGGUGAAAGUUUGCGGCUCAAACGUAAAAAUGCGGUUGAAACUGGCUGGCUGGAGUACACUAGAGGUAUGCGGAAUUCGUGGUGUAGCGGUGAAAUGCAUAGAUAUCACGAAGAACUCCGAUUGCGAAGGCAGCAUACGA